GUGCCUGGCAGGGUUCCACUUCUUCUUCUUGGGGUGAAUCCAUUUACCCCAAGAGGACACAUAUCAGAGGAAAGGAAUUUGGCUGCAUUGAACUUUAGUGGGUUUUAUCUUUGGUGAUGCGUCAGUAGAACAAAGGGGUUGAACAGUGAACCCCUGAAGUCCCUUCUGGAGAUGCCCACCUCCCCAGUCCUCUGACCUGUGCUCACCAGACAUGGUCCACUUCUUAGGACCGAGGUUGCCCUGCUCCGAGUGCUUGCAGACUUUCCUCAUCCCUGCAGCGUUUGGAAGGAGCCUCGUUCCCCUGCAGUUGAUUAUCCCUUUUACACAGCAGGAAACAAAAAGAUGGCCAGAUGAAUAAAUAACAAAAACAAGAAACUCCAAACACCCCCAACCAAACACUCUAGAGUUAUAAGAAUUCAUCCUUAAACUCUAUAAAUAUCUUUUAAAAUAGACAUUUUCCAAAGUACAUUUUUAUAUCUUAAUAAAAAAUGACUAUUAUUUAAA